rnacentral:rRNA from 1 species
ACAGCAGCCGCCACGGUAAUACGAAGGGUGCAAGCGUUAAUCGGAAUUACUGGGCGUAAAGCGUGCGUAGGCGGUGAGUUAAGUCUGCUGUGAAAUCCCCGGGCUCAACCUGGGAAUGGCAGUGGAUACUGGCUCGCUAGAGUGUGUCAGAGGAUGGUGGAAUUCCCGGUGUAGCGGCGAAAUGCGUAUAGAUCGGGAGGAACAUCAGUGGCGAAGGCGGCCAUCUGGGACAACACUGACGCUGAGGCACGAAAGCGUGGGGAGCAAACAGGAUUAGAUACCCCGGUAGUCCCUGUCUCUUAUAC